rnacentral:rRNA from 1 species
CGGCAGCGCGGGGCAACCGGCGGCGAGUGGCGAACGGGUGAGUAAUACAUCGGAACGUACCCAGAAGUGGGGGAUAACGUAGCGAAAGUUACGCUAAUACCGCAUACGUUCUACGGAAGAAAGUGGGGGACCGCAAGGCCUCAUGCUUUUGGAGCGGCCGAUGUCUGAUUAGCUAGUUGGUGAGGUAAAGGCUCACCAAGGCGACGAUCAGUAGCUGGUCUGAGAGGACGACCAGCCACACUGGGACUGAGACACGGCCCAGACUCCUACGGGAGGCAGCAGUGGGGAAUUUUGGACAAUGGGCGCAAGCCUGAUCCAGCAAUGCCGCGUGAGUGAAGAAGGCCUUCGGGUUGUAAAGCUCUUUUGUCAGGGAAGAAACGGCCGGGGAUAAUACCUCUGGCUAAUGACGGUACCUGAAGAAUAAGCACCGGCUAACUACGUGCCAGCAGCCGCGGUAAUACGUAGGGUGCAAGCGUUAAUCGGAAUUACUGGGCGUAAAGCGUGCGCAGGCGGCUUUGUAAGUCUGACGUGAAAUCCCCGGGCUCA